GACGAACCGUGCGAACGUUGUUCGGAAUCACUGGGCUUAAAGGGCGCGUAGGCGGGCUGGUAAGUCAGGGGUGAAAGCCCACGGCCCAACCGUGGAAGUGCCUUUGAUACUGCCAGUCUCGAGGGAGGUAGGGGCGUGCGGAACUUCCGGUGGAGCGGUGAAAUGCGUAGAUAUCGGAAGGAACACCGGUGGCGAAAGCGGCGCGCUGGACCUCUUCUGACGCUGAGACGCGAAAGCGUGGGGAGCAAACAGG
rnacentral:rRNA from 1 species